rnacentral:rRNA from 1 species
UACGUAGGGUGCAAGCGUUGUCCGGAAUUAUUGGGCGUAAAGAGCGUGUAGGCGGUCCGGUAAGUCCGCUGUGAAAGUCGGGGGCUCAACCCUCGAAUGCCGGUGGAUACUGUCGGGCUAGAGUACGGAAGAGGCGAGUGGAAUUCCUGGUGUAGCGGUGAAAUGCGCAGAUAUCAGGAGGAACACCUAUUGCGAAGGCAGCUCGCUGGGACGUAACUGACGCUGAGACGCGAAAGCGUGGGGAGCAAACAGG